rnacentral:rRNA from 1 species
CUUGACUGUAUCCUGGAAUUGGGUUCGGGCUUUUCUUGCGCAGCCUAGGUGGGAGGCUAUGAAGAUUUCCUUCCGGGGAAGUUGGAGCCAUCAGUGAGAGACCACUCUGGAGAGGCUAGAAUCCUAAUGGUGAUCCUUGAAUCAGGACACUUGACAGUUUCAGGUGGGCAGUUUUUCUGGGGCAGAAGCCUCAUAAAGGGUAACUGAGGCGCGCAAAGGUCCCCUCAGUCUGGACGGAAAUCAGACAACGAGUGUAAAGGCAAAAGGGGGCUUGACUGCAAGACCUACAAGUCGAGCAGGGGCGAAAGCUGGUCUUAGUGAUCCGACGGUACCGUGUGGAAGGGCCGUCGCUCAACGAAUAAAAGUUA